rnacentral:rRNA from 1 species
AGAGUUUGAUCCUGGCUCAGGAUGAUUUUGGCGGCGUGCCUAACACAUGCAAGUCGAGCGGGAUUCGGUUGAAGCGCAAGCAGAAACUGAUGAUAGCGGCGGACGGGUGAGUAACGCGUAGGUAAUCUGCCCAUCACACAGGGAUAGCCCGGCGAAAGCUGAAUUAAUACCUGAUGAUGCGCGGGGGUCACAUGGCUCCUUCGCCAAAGAUUUAUCGGUGAUGGAUGAACCUGCGUCUGAUUAGCUAGUUGGUGAGGUAACGGCCCACCAAGGCAACGAUCAGUAGCCGACCUGAGAGGGUAAUCGGCCACAUUGGAACUGAGACACGGUCCAAACUCCUACGGGAGGCAGCAGUGGGGAAUAUUGCACAAUGGGCGCAAGCCUGAUGCAGCAACGCCGCGUGAGCGAUGAAGGUCUUCGGAUCGUAAAGCUCUGUCCUAUGGGACGAAGAAGUGACGGUACCAUAGGAGGAAGCCCCGGCUAACUACGUGCCAGCAGCCGCGGUAAUACGUAGGGGGCGAGCGUUAUCCGGAAUUAUUGGGCGUAAAGAGUACGUAGGUGGUUCUGUAAGCGAGGGGUGAAAGCCCGGGGCUUAACUCCGGCGAGCCUUUCGAACUGCAGGACUUGAGUGCAGGAGGGGAAAGUGGAACUCCAUGUGUAGCGGUGAAAUGCGUAGAUAUAUGGAAGAACACCGGUGGCGAAGGCGACUUUCUGGACUGUAACUGACACUGAGGUACGAAAGCGUGGGGAGCAAACAGGAUUAGAUACCCUGGUAGUCCACGCCGUAAACGAUGAGCACUAGAUGUUGGGGUCGCAAGAUCUCGGCGUCGAAGUUAACGCAUUAAGUGCUCCGCCUGGGGAGUACGUACGCAAGUAGAAACUCAAAGGAAUUGACGGGGACCCGCACAAGCAGCGGAGCAUGUGGUUUAAUUCGAAGCAACGCGAAGAACCUUACCAGGACUUGACAUCCCUCUGAAAGGCUGGUUAAAACCGGCCCCCCUUCGGGCAGAGGUGACAGGUGGUGCAUGGUUGUCGUCAGCUCGUGUCGUGAGAUGUUGGGUUAAGUCCCGCAACGAGCGCAACCCUUGUCUUUAGUUGCCAUCAGGUAAGGCUGGGCACUCUAGAGAGACUGCCGGGGAUAACUCGGAGGAAGGUGGGGAUGACGUCAAAUCAUCAUGCCCCUUAUGUUCUGGGCUACACACGUGCUACAAUGGCUGGUACAGGGAGAUGCAAAGCCGCGAGGUGGAGCCAAACUCUAAAGCCAGUCCCAGUUCGGACUGUAGGCUGCAACUCGCCUACACGAAGUCGGAGUUGCUAGUAAUCGCGGAUCAGCACGCCGCGGUGAAUGCGUUCCCGGGUCUUGUACUCACCGCCCGUCA